GUGGGGCGAAGAUUGGGGAGAAGGGGAUAAUGGCAACCGUAGAGUUCUUCCGCAUGGAAGAACUCUGAAAGACGGUUUCGGCUGUCACUGCAGGAUGGGCCCGCGGCGCAUUAGCUAGUUGGUGGGGUAAUGGCCUACCAAGGCGACGAUGCGUAGCCGACCUGAGAGGGUGAUCGGCCACACUGGGACUGAGACACGGCCCAGACUCCUACGGGAGGCAGCAGUAGGGAAUCUUCCACAAUGGACGAAAGUCUGAUGGAGCAACGCCGCGUGAGCGAAGAAGGUUUUCGGAUCGUAAAGCUCUGUUGCGAGGGAAGAACAAGUACGGGAUGUAACUGCCCUGUACCAUGACGGUACCUCGUCAGAAAGCCACGGCUAACUACGUGCCAGCAGCCGCGGUAAUACGUAUGUGGCAAGCGUUGUCCGGAAUUAUUGGGCGUAAAGCGCGCGCAGGCGGUCCUUUAAGUCUGAUGUGAAAGCCCACGGCUCAACCGUGGAGGGUCAUUGGAAACUGGAGGACUUGAGUACAGAAGAGGAAAGCGGAAUUCCACGUGUAGCGGUGAAAUGCGUAGAGAUGUGGAGGAACACCAGUGGCGAGGGCGGCUUUCUGGUUCUGUAACUGAACGCUGAGGCGCGAAA
rnacentral:rRNA from 1 species